rnacentral:rRNA from 1 species
GACGAACGCUGGCGGCGUGCUUAACACAUGCAAGUCGAACGGAAAGGCCCUGCUUGCAGGGUACUCGAGUGGCGAACGGGUGAGUAACACGUGGGUGAUCUGCCCUGCACUUCGGGAUAAGCCUGGGAAACUGGGUCUAAUACCGGAUAGGAGCCAUUUUUAGUGUGAUGGUUGGAAAGUUUUUUCGGUGUAGGAUGAGCUCGCGGCCUAUCAGCUUGUUGGUGGGGUAAUGGCCUACCAAGGCGGCGACGGGUAGCCGGCCUGAGAGGGUGGACGGCCACAUUGGGGCUGUGAUACGGCCCAGACUCCUACGGGAGGCAGAGGUGGGGAAUAUUGCACAAUGGGCGCAAGCCUGAUGCAGCGACGCCGCGUGGGGGAUGACGGCCUUCGGGUUGUAAACUCCUUUCGCUAGGGACGAAGCUUUUUGUGACGGUACCUAGAUAAGAAGCACCGGCUAACUACGUG